GUCCACACUGUAAACGAUGAUUACUCGAUGUUGGCGAUACACAGCCAGCGUCUUAGCAAAGCGAUAAGUAAUCCACCUGGGGAGUACGCUGGCAACAGUGAAACUCAAAGGAAUUGACGGGGUCCGCACAAGCGGUGGAGCAUGUGGUUUAAUUCGAUGAUACGCGAGGAACCUUACCUGGGCUAGAAUGCCCCUUGACAGAUUCAGAGAUGAGUUCUUCCGCAAGGACAAGGAGCAAGGUGCUGCAUGGCUGUCGU
rnacentral:rRNA from 1 species